AGUUCUUAUCAGAUUAUCUUGAGUACCAAAAUGUUCUCUGUGGCUCUGCUGCUCCUGCUGGCUGCUGGAUCCUGUGUGAAGUGUGAGCAGCUGACACAGCCAGCCUCUGUAAAUGUGCAGCCAGGUCAGCAUCUGACCAUCACCUGUCAGGUCUCUUAUUCUCUUAGCAGCGAUUGGACAGCUUGGAUCAGACAGCCUGCAGGGAAAGGACCGGAGUGGAUUGGGGUGAAAAGUACUGGGAGCUCUCACUAUAAAGAUUCACUAAAGAGCAAGUUCAGCAUUGACUUGGACACUUCAAGCAACACAGUGACUGUAAAUGGACAGAAUAUAGAGCCUGAAGACACUGCUGUGUAUUACUGUGUCAGAGAGUCACAGUAA